rnacentral:rRNA from 1 species
CCUACGGGAGGCAGCAGUGAGGAAUAUUGGUCAAUGGACGAGAGUCUGAACCAGCCAAGUAGCGUGAAGGAUGACUGCCCUAUGGGUUGUAAACUUCUUUUAUAUAGGAAUAAAACGAGGCACGUGUGCCCUUUUGCAUGUACUUUAUGAAUAAGGAUCGGCUAUCUCCGUGCCAGCAGCCGCGGUAAUACGGAGGAUCCGCGCGUUAUCCGGAUUUAUUGGGUUUAAAGGGAGCGUAGAUGGGUUGUUAAGUCAGUUGUGAAAGUUUGCGGCUCAACCGUAAAAUUGCAAUUGAUACUGGCAGUCUUGAGUACAGUUGAGGUAGGCGGAAUUCGUGGUGUAGCGGUGAAAUGCUGAGAUAUCACGAAGAACCCCGAUUGCGAAGGCAGCUUACUAAACUGUGACUGACAUUGAUGCUCGAAAGUGUGGGUAUCAAACAGGAUUAGAUACCCCAGUAGUC